AUUGAACGCUGGCGGCAGGCCUAACACAUGCAAGUCGAGCGAGCGGCGGACGGGUGAGUAAUGUAUGGGGACUGCCCGAUAGAGGGGGGUAACUACUGGAAACGGUAGCUAAUACCGCAUACUAUCGGAUAAUCCAUAUGGGAGUAGCGAGUAGGUGAGGUAAUGGCUCACCUAGGCGACGAGCCCUAGCUGGGCUGAGAGGAUGAGCAGCCAACCGGGGACUGAGACACGGCCCAGACUCCGACGGAGGCAGCGGUGGGGAAUAUUGCACAAUGGGAGAAAGCCUGAUGCAGCCAUGCCGCGUGUAUGAAGAAGGCCCUAGGGUUGUAAAGUACUUUCAGUCGGGAGGCGUUACCGACAGAAGAAGCACCGGCUAACUCCGUGCCAGCAGCCGCGGUAAUUC
rnacentral:rRNA from 1 species